UACAAGUUUCUUAAAUCUUUAUUCUCCUGCCUAAAGACCUCUAUUCCUUCGUUGCAAACCUCAAAACUUGAGUCCUUAGCUCUUAACUUCAUCCCUUGAAUUGUCGACGCGAGCCAUAUUUGAAACAGAAGAAGCACACUUAAUAUUGAGUGCCCUGGAGUCAUAAUGGCUUUGAUAUCAGUCCUAUCGCCAAUAAAUUUCAUCUUGUGGAGUAAUGACACUUAGCUACUGAUGCAAUCAACUGUAUCUCCGCAUCACAGAGCCAUUAGAGUCAUGAGCGAACCAUUUUUUUGAGAUAAAGAUGAUGAAUGCCAAUUUUCUGGUGUACAUUGGCACAGCAUUUAGAUCAAUUUAUUUUGAUAAGAAGAAGCCAUUUUUGAAAACUAAGAAAAGAAACUGUAUCAGUAAAUGAAUUGUUCUUCAAAGAACGAAGGAGAAAGAAGAAGAGAACUAUUUUGGGAUCUAGGAACGAGAUUUUUUUUCGACAAAAUAUGGCUAAAAGUCCGUCUCUGAGCACAGCCGCAUCUACCACUGAUAAAUAUUUGAAUGCGAUUUUUUUUUUUUUAUUGGUCAAAUCACAUGUCGUCAUCACAUGCGUCACUCAACACCUAUUCCCUGUCCAACCUCAUCUAUAUAUUCAUUUCUCUUCGUCUUGCCAGCACAUAUUUCUGUUCUCAAUCUUCAUACUCGAAAAGCUAAAUCUUUUCUUUCUAGUUCAGCCUAUCAUCACUUCUUAAGAAGAAAGAUGUCAUCGCAACCUAAUUCAUACAGUCUAAAUUCUAAAGCCAGAAAGAUGUAAUAACUCAACCACUGAUUCACAAACAACAGAAGCAAGACUAUUCUUGAUCAUACAUCUAGAAGGCAAGAUUAUUCUUGAUCAUGCUUCUAAGAUGAAAUAUCCUUCUCUUCUUGCAUCAUAGAUUCUUUCCACAUGAUAAUAUCUGUGACCAAAGAGAGAAAGCACAACUAUAUGGUGUCUCACCUCAUACUCUUUCCUGAUUGCUUGCCUCACUUCUCUUGAUUCAAUGUUAUAUUUAGAAGCUUUCAUCAUAUUUAUCGUUAGAUAUACUUUCAUCAUGAAGGGAGGAGCAUUCUUCGUAGGGGGACUUCUACAUUAUCCUUUUGUUGAUGUCAAAAGGGGAGAAAUAAGGAUAUAGAAAAAGUUUUGUUAUUCCAUACAAUGAGCGUAAUAAUAAAAAUGCAUUAUUCUCAGUGAUUACAUUACUGCUUUGAUCAGCAAUAGGUAUUAGACAAUGGCUGAAAAAUUUUUGUAUCAUAAAUUUGUCAUCUUAUCAACAAGAGGGGGAGAUUGUGAACCCUAUGCGUCAAUUGAUUAGGUGGCAAAUAUUUUGAUGUAACAACUUCAUCUUAUUGCUCUAAUGUAUUUCAUCAAGUAUGAUAGUUGCAAGACACAUUUAAACACUAUUCUCAGGAGCAAAAAUAAUCGAAGAUAUUUGACUGCAAAAGCAAGGAAGCCUUAAAGCACGGAAGAUCUCAAGAAUGAAGAACUUUCUUAGGGUAUUUUUGUAAAACUCUUGUAUGGUUAACUUCUUGAGGACCUAAAAGCAUUAAUUCCUUCAGGCAUUUUAAAAAAAAAAAAGCAAAAAAAAAAAAAAAAAAAAAUGUGCAUAAAAAUUAAAGUCUUAAAAAUGUGCUAGGAAUAAUUCUUAUCUUUGAAUUUAAUUACAAUUUUAAAAAAAAUGGGCUAGUAAUAAUUUUUGCUUUUGAAAAUUUAAUUUCAAGUUUGAAAAAAUGGCUAGCAACAAUUUCUGACUUGAAAAAUUGAUUCCAAAUUUGAACAAUAGCUAGCAAAUUAAAUUUUGGAUUUGAAAAAUUGAUCCAAUUUGAAAAUUUGGUUAGCAAUAAUGUCUACUUGAAAAUUUAAUUCCAAGUUUGAAAAUUAUGCUAGCACACAAUUUUUAUUUGAAAAUGUGGUACAAUUUUGAAAAAUUGGUAGAAACAAUUUUUAGUUUGAAAAUGUAGUUGCAACUUUUGAAAUUUGGAUAGCAAAAUUUCUGAUUUGAAAAUGUGAUUUAAAAUUUAAAAAUUGGCUAGCAAAUUCAAAAUUCUCUCCAAAGGUUAUAUUUUGCUAAGGCCUAUAAUUACAUAUCCUUAGCUUUCAUUCAUAAGACAAUCAAUGAGAAAAAUCAAGUUAGAACUCAAGCAUACUUCCUUCAAUUCCUUUGAGCUUUCAAGUUAAUUCAUACAAUAGUUCUAGUGAAGAGAUAUAAUUGUAAAAUAUAUUGUCAUAUCCUUAUCAAGAAAGGAGAAUUGUUAUUGUAGAGAAAUCUCAAAUCAAUCAACAUUGUUGUUGUAUCAGAGAGGGUUGGUGUGACACUUGAGGGUUGGUGGGACCCUUGUGAGGUGUGAAAUGGAUUUUCCACCUUGUGAACAAGAGUGGUGUGCUCUUGGCGUGUAAAAAGGUUUGAAACUCACCCGCAAGGAGGUUUGGUAUAGUGGAUGAAAAUCUCAAGUGGGGCUUGGGGAGUGGACGUAGGUCGGUAGACCGAACACUAUAAAUCGCCGAGUUUGAAUUCUCUCCCUUUAUCUCUUUAUUAUUGUGCUCAUUUAUUAUUCUUUGCAUUAUACUGCCUCUUAAAUCAUUCUAAACUCUUAAGUCAGUAUAAUUUUAUUAAAAAAAAAGUUUUGCCAACAAACCCUAUUCACCCCCCUCUUAGGGUGAUAUCUAGGCAACAGUAUAUAUAUAUAUAUAUAGUACACAUAUACUAAAGCACGAAGGAAGAAUUCACAAGAGAGAGAGGGAGAGAGCUAGAAGACUUCGUAUGCCUUCACAAGGGAAAGUUACUUCCCUUUAUAUAGAUGAAGAAGGAUCUCGCCGGGUGCUCAUUGGGCCCAUCAUCAUCGGUGAAUUCAUUCUUUUUUUUUUUUUUUUGAUUUUACAAAAGAAAGAAAAAAUUGGCAGUAUAAUGCCGACACAAAAGGCUAUAAUUUAGCCAACACAGAAAACAAAACUCAAAAGAUACUUUUUAAAAAUAAACAGUCCUAAAAGAUAAGGGGAAUAUGAUACAAAUCUCUUGAUUAUUCAAGGCUUAUCUUUAGGACGGAUUCUUCUAUCCUCUUUUAGAGAAUUCUAAAAUGAUGCCAGCUCAUGAUAUUCCUACUAAUUAGGCGGAAGCAGGGAUAUUUAACUGAUUUAUUUAUAGUAAGAAAGAGUGUUUACAAAGCAAGAAGGAAGAUUACAAGAGACAGAGAAGCUUAGAAGAAUUAGUAUCAGAGCCAUUGUUGGAUCCGCCAUGAUAGUCGGCUAACUAUCUCUGUUAGCCUAUAACAGGUAUUACUCUGAGUUAUGAAAGUUUUAUAUUAUAUGAUUGUGUGUUUUUAGUUUUGUUUAAUAAAAUAAAACAUUCUUCUAUUAUUCUUGUGUAAGUGGGAAAGAAUUAUUACCAGAUUAAUAAUGGAUGAUUCAACUUGUCGCGUUGAGCUGGGUGACCUAUUUGUCGUUGUAGCCAGAAGGGCGUUUGAAGGCUGUUAAGGAUCAGGGGGUUAAUAAGGAAGUAGAACACCAUGAAAGGGCAAGUAAUGUGAGGGAAGUCGAGGCCCAAACUCGUACGAUGAGGGAUUACAUGAACCCUACAAGGCAAAUACCUAUAUCAGCUAUAGUACUUCCCGCGCAUCAUGCCACAUUAAAUCUAAAACCAAGAAUGCUACAAGCUUUACCACAAUUUCAUGGUUGUGAGUCCGAGAGAGCAUACGCGCAUUUGAAAGGUUUUGAGGAUGCAUGUUCUAUUUUUCAAGAUAACUCAUGUCCUAGGAAAAUCUUACUUUUAAAACUCUUUCCAUUCACUUUAACUACUUGACUAAUUUGAUAAGUGAUUGAGCAUGCAUGAAACCAAAUAAUGUGAAUAAACCUUUUACUUUUAGGUCCACAUAACGUAUAGGUAAUAAGUACCAAUUGGGAGUAGAGGAUGAUGUUAAUGCAAAACUCACUGCACUUUCAAAACAAGUGGAGGCUUUGGCACAUACUAAGGCCGCCAUAAGUUUACCAAAAGAGACUUCUUUAAUGGGUGCACUUUGCGACACAAUGGACAAUUGCACUGAUGUGUGUCCAUUUGUGGCGGAGGUAAAGAGGCACAUGGGUAGAUUAAUGCGGUAGGCCAAUUUUCGAGGAGUGGGAACAAUCCUUACUCCAAUACAUACAAUCCGAGUUGGAGGAACCACCCUAACUUUGGAUAGCGACAAGAGGGGCAGCAAAAAAUUGCAACAAUUAUCUCAAAAUCUCCGUAACCUUAAAUCGCAACCAUAACCAUACCAUGCAUCACAAUCAUAUCCCACAUAAACCGUUGCAUACUUGGAUGCAUAACCACACAAACCUUUUCAAGUAUUCAAUACAUGGACGCAUAACCUCACAAACACAUUUUAAACCAUACCUAUGGUUGUUAAUGAGUGUUGUGAAUUGCCUCAAUUGAUUUUAAUAAAAGUUUGAGUGGAACCCAUGAUCUAAACAUCAAUGAAGAACCCUAGUUUGAAGUGUACCCAUCAAGUGUUCGAUGAAUUUCUCCAAUAAACAAAUUGAUCAAUUUGUGGGGGGAUUGCACUUUAAAUUCAUUGUACGUGUUUUUCAAUAGAAUUUGGGGGCAUUUGUUCAAAAGAUUUAUGCAUGGAACUCUAGUUUUUACAUGUGCACAUUAAGUGUUCGAUGAAAUGCACAAGUGUUUAUUAAGAGGCUCAUGGUUGAUCCAAUGUUAAGGAUUGUUGUAGGAGGUUUAGUUGUCUUGAUUAGGCAUCAUUCUAAUUAUUUUGUCUCACUUUUGGGAUUCAUGAUUAAUGGGAAUACACACAAUACAUAGGCACACCCCAUUGCAUUGCAUACUUGCAUUGUUUCUGACUUUUUUUCAUGUAUUAUUUAAUUGGUGUGCAGGGUAUUUGAGUAGCAUAAGUACUAUGGAAACCAGGGGUUCUGAUAAAAAGUCAAAAUCUAAGGGAAAGGAGAAUGUGGAUUAUGACUCCUCUCGGUUCAACGGUAAGGCAGAGAAAAAGCU
rnacentral:lncRNA from 1 species